GCAGUCCUGAGGAAGUGGGAUGGAGGAGAAGUUAACUCUUCCUCUUACGGCUCCCUGUGUGCAACACAUCCACAGCCCUGAGCUGCCGUUCUCUGUAUUUGACUUAGCAGCAGGAUUAAGUGUGCCAUCAGGUUCAGGAGACAUGGGUGAAGCCGGACAGAGAGCAAGCAGGACCACGCUCCCACCGGCAGCUGAGGGCUUUUGUCUCACCACGCCUUCCCCACCGCGAUGGACUUUAGCCUCACACCAUGAUCCGAAAUAAACGCUUCCUCCCCUACGCUGUUUCCUUAAGGCUUUCCUGGCGUUUCCUCCUGCCUGUGGUGGUCUGAGAUGCCGGCACCCUGCAAACUUCAACUCCUCGGUCACUUUUCCAACUAAGGAUCUCUGGAUUCUUCCAUCCACUACCGCCAUGUCUGGUCUAAGAGGUGCCAGAGAGUUCCGUACAGCCUGGACUGAGAUGAAACAACCAGUUACCCCAGGAUGUGGCAGCACCCCAGCUUUCUCAGGUCCCCAAAGAUGAUCAACGCCCCCAGGUCAGCAGGAAGUAGUCUUGAGAACUCGACGCCCCCUUUCCCUAAGCUGCCAUGCCUAACUCCCCACCUUUUUUAUUAAUGAGCAAAUGUGGAAAUGAAAGGAUUCAGGCAUUAUGGUGGCCUGCCCCUGUUACCUGGCAGAAUGCACCCUGGUCAGCCCCGGGUUCCAUGAGUACUAAGUAUGCACUGAGGUAUAAAGGACCCCUUUAGAAGACAGACCCCCUGCCCACUUACCCUUUUCUGCUCUCUCCUGUUUUGCUCUCCUCUCUGACCCCCUUUCUCUUACCCUCUGCCUCUUGUUCUCCCCCCUCCCUUCAUCUCUCUCUUCUUCCCCUCUCACACUCCCUGCCCUUUAAUAAACUCCAUGGCUACUGAAUCUCUUGGUUCCUGUUCCAUCACAAUCGAGAUGCUGGCGAUUUAAACAAAAGAACAACAGAGGCUACAUGCAGCCUUCACCCUGGCACCUCUGCUUUAAGGGAUCCUCCAUUCAGUUGUUUCCCUUUGUGUCUGUUGAAGCUCUGGGAGGCUGCUGAACGGACUCCACGCUCUGUUGGAGAAGAGUGUGCCAUCAUAACCGCCCAGGGAAAUGUCUGAUGCAGGCUUUCCUGAUCACCUACUCCCGCUUUGAGAUAGCAGGGGUGUCAGCAGGGCCAGCUUUGGUCUACGGCUCAUAGGGCUGGUCCCCAGGAUGAGGAUGGAAGGAGGAGAAACGAUGACCUCACCAUCAGCAUGAGGUCAGAACCUGAGGCCCUCCUGUGGCCAUUUCUGUUCCUCUCAGCACAUUCUUGAUGCCCCCUGUGCCACAAGGGGAUUUCCAUCAAAUCAGACCUCACAGCA